rnacentral:lncRNA from 1 species
AGUUGUGCUUGUGCUUGGUGGCUGGAAGAUCGGCUUUCAUUGGCACAGUCCCAGAGAGAUGCACUGUGCCCUUUUUGACUCCUUUCCCCGUAACAGCAAACUGAUGGAUGGUCAUGCUAGCAAGCACUGCUUGUGGCAUCAGUGUGCCCUAUCAGAAAGACUUGUGUUGGAAGAGCAGGACCUGUGUCUAACGUAGUAGUGAUACCUGCAGCAGUGGCAUUCAGCAAAAUGCCACGCAUCAAACUUGCAGUGUUUUAAUGGUUCAUGACAGCAAGGCAUCUACAAGACAGUGCUCCUAAAAUUAAUACCUCAGUGAUGGAGCGAUCUGCAACUUUGAC